UGCCGGAUUCAAAUCCAUCUUCUCCUACAAACUACCUCCUCAAGAUUUAUCAUCAUAUAUCCCUCAUAAUGUAGAACUCGAGGUGCCUUUUCAGUUUUCAAUGGAAGGAUUGAUGCCCUCGAGAGAUUAACACUUUCUUUUCUUCUAAGACAAUCUAUUACCAGAUCCAUUAUCUACACACACCAAACAUGGAAUAAACAACAUAUUAUAAAUCUCAUCCCUCCUCAAAUCGUUCAACACCCUAAGGUGGAAUUUUAAUGGGGUUGAAAUCAUGUUUCACGCUCCUAAUACGACUACUCACUCUCUGUCUUUGGUGAACCACAACAACUGUCGACUUCAAAUCGAUCUGAGCAAACCUUCCAUCCAUUCACCGGUUUCAAAUCGAUCUACAUUAGGUAGAAUACUUUUUCUCCAUUUAAUGUGGCACUACCAUCGCACCAGGGCUAUAUGCACCAGUUCAUCAACACUUUUUUGUUGCUCGAAUGGACAUGACAGUUAUUGCAAGGCUGGAGAAGCAUACAACCAGAUUCGGAAGCCAAGUUUUUGAGAAGGGCUGCUUUUCUGAAGCAUAAUAUGUGGGUUACAUCUUAUGCAAUCGGGUGAGGCUUUUCCUGGAGGAGAGUUCCCUAAUCAAAAUCCAAGGGUUGGCGAAGGUCUAGCCUCAUGGGUCCAGCAAAAUCGAUCUCUUGAAGAAACCGAUAUCGUCCUCUGGUAUGUAUUCGGUAUCACUCAUAUUCCUAGGUUGGAAGACUGGCCUGUAAUGCCAGUGGAGCGGAUCGUGUUUAUGCUUCAGGCAUGUUAAAUGGUCGGCCAAAUACUAUUAUUAAAUUUUGUAAGUUGUUUAUAUCAAGAAAGAAGAAUACCUCAUUCUUGGCCAUAACAACACAUUCUUGGAGCCAAGCAUAUUAAGGUUAUGAAAUUCCUUCAUUCUGGUAGCAAUUAGUGUAGAUAUCUCAGGAUCACAAGUUGAUAAUGUUUGAAACUCAUGAAAAGGAAUUAGGGGCCGUUUACUAAAUGCUUGCCUGGUAAGUGUUUACCGGGUAAUUUUCUUUACCGAAUGAAUAUGGUGAGGGUCAAAAAUCUUACCCGAUAAGAGCAAUGAUAAAGAUAGAGAGUCUUACUCGGUAAGUGAGGGUGACGACUCUUAUCCGGGUAAAUUGUUGCAUACAAUAUCUUUUAUAAUAUACUACAAUCUUUUUAAUUUAAGAAUUAAUGUAUAGAAUAUGCAAAAGGCCUUGUUCAGAUGAUAUCCUCUUUUCUCUUGCAUUUUUUUAUAAUCUUGGUUUCUGGUUUGUGGAGGACUACAUGGCUUUUGGGACUGGUCUGACUCUAUAGGUUCCAAUAUGCUUAAACUCUGCUUUAUGCCCAAACUGGUAGCAAAGUUAACAGGAAGAAUGCUACAAUUUCUUCGGAAGUUUAGUAUCUGGUUGGACUUUGGAAGUUGUAAAGCUAAAAGGGAAAAUAUAAUCUUUGAAUCUCUGGCUACUGAUAUACAAGUGUAUGGACAAUGGCUUUUUACCAUAAUGACAUGGCUUGGAUUUCUGUUUUGAGGAAA